rnacentral:rRNA from 1 species
UAGUGAGUUUGAUCCUGGCUCAGAACGAACGCUGGCGGCAGGCUUAACACAUGCAAGUCGAGCGAGACCUUCGGGUCUAGCGGCGGACGGGUGAGUAACGCGUGGGAACGUGCCCUUCUCUACGGAAUAGCCCCGGGAAACUGGGAGUAAUACCGUAUAAGCCCUACGGGGGAAAGAUUUAUCGCCAAAGGAUCGGCCCGCGUUGGAUUAGGUAGUUGGUGGGGUAAUGGCCUACCAAGGCGACGAUCCGUAGCUGAUCUUAGAGGAUGAUCAGCCACACUGGGACUGAGACACGGCCCAGACUCCUACGGGAGCAGCAGUGGGGAAUAUUGCACAAUGGGGCGCAAGCCUGAUGCAGCAACG